rnacentral:rRNA from 1 species
AGUGAACGCUGGCGGUAGGCCUAACACAUGCAAGUCGAACGGCAGCACAGUAAGAGCUUGCUCUUACGGGUGGCGAGUGGCGGACGGGUGAGGAAUACAUCGGAAUCUACUUUUUCGUGGGGGAUAACGUAGGGAAACUUACGCUAAUACCGCAUACGACCUACGGGUGAAAGCAGGGGAUCUUCGGACCUUGCGCGAUUGAAUGAGCCGAUGUCGGAUUAGCUAGUUGGCGGGGUAAAGGCCCACCAAGGCGACGAUCCGUAGCUGGUCUGAGAGGGUGAUCAGCCACACUGGAACUGAGACACGGUCCAGACUCCUACGGGAGGCAGCAGUGGGGAAUAUUGGACAAUGGGCGCAAGCCUGAUCCAGCCAUACCGCGUGGGUGAAGAAGGCCUUCGGGUUGUAGAGCCCUUUUGUUGGGAAAGAAAAGCAGCAGGUUAAUACCCCGCUGUUCUGACGGUACCCAAAGAAUAAGCACCGGCUAACUUCGUG